AGAGUUUGAUCCUGGCUCAGAUUGAACGCUGGCGGCAUGCCUUACACAUGCAAGUCGAACGGUAACAGGUCUUCGGAUGCUGACGAGUGGCGAACGGGUGAGUAAUACAUCGGAACGUGCCCGAGAGUGGGGGAUAACGGAGCGAAAGCUUUGCUAAUACCGCAUACGAUCUACGGAUGAAAGCAGGGGACCGCAAGGCCUUGCGCUCAUGGAGCGGCCGAUGGCAGAUUAGGUAGUUGGUGGGAUAAAAGCUUACCAAGCCGACGAUCUGUAGCUGGUCUGAGAGGACGACCAGCCACACUGGGACUGAGACACGGCCCAGACUCCUACGGGAGGCAGCAGUGGGGAAUUUUGGACAAUGGGCGCAAGCCUGAUCCAGCCAUGCCGCGUGCAGGAUGAAGGCCUUCGGGUUGUAAACUGCUUUUGUACGGAACGAAAAGACUC
rnacentral:rRNA from 1 species